UGGGGAAUAUUGGACAAUGGGCGCAAGCCUGAUCCAGCCAUGCCGCGUGAGUGAUGAAGGCCUUAGGGUUGUAAAGCUCUUUCGUCAGGGAAGCGGUACCUGAAGAAGAAGCCCCGGCUAACUUCGUGCCAGCAGCCGCGGUAAUACGAAGGGGGCUAGCGUUGCUCGGAAUCACUGGGCGUAAAGCGCACGUAGGCGGCUUUCUAAGUCAGGGGUGAAAUCCUGGAGCUCAACUCCAGAACUGCCCUUGAUACUGGAAAGCUUGAGUUCGGGAGAGGUGAGUGGAACUGCGAGUGUAGAGGUGAAAUUCGUAGAUAUUCGCAAGAACACCAGUGCGAAGCGGCUCACUGGCCCGAACUGACGCUGAGGUGCGAAAGCGUGGGGAGCAAACAGGAUUAGAUACCCGAGUAGU
rnacentral:rRNA from 1 species